rnacentral:rRNA from 1 species
UACGUAGGGACCAAGCGUUGUUCGGAUUUACUGGGCGUAAAGGGCGCGUAGGCGGCGUGGCAAGUCACUUGUGAAAUCUCCGGGCUUAACUCGGAACGGCCAAGUGAAACUGCCAUGCUAGAGUGCAGAAGGGGCAAUCGGAAUUCUUGGUGUAGCGGUGAAAUGCGUAGAUAUCAAGAGGAACACCUGAGGUGAAGACGGGUUGCUGGGCUGACACUGACGCUGAGGCGCGAAAGCCAGGGGGGCAAACGGG